CAACUUGAGAGUUUGAUCCUGGCUCAGAACGAACGCUGGCGGCAGGCCUAACACAUGCAAGUCGAACGCUGUAGCAAUACAGAGUGGCAGACGGGUGAGUAACACGUGGGAAUAUACCCUUUGGUUCGGAACAACUCAGGGAAACUUGAGCUAAUACCGGAUAAGCGCGAGAGCGGAAAGAUUUAUCGCCGAAGGAUUAGCCCGCGUCUGAUUAGCUAGUUGGUGAGGUAACGGCUCACCAAGGCGACGAUCAGUAGCUGGUCUGAGAGGAUGAUCAGCCACAUUGGGACUGAGACACGGCCCAAACUCCUACGGGAGGCAGCAGUGGGGAAUAUUGGACAAUGGGCGCAAGCCUGAUCCAGCCAUG
rnacentral:rRNA from 1 species